rnacentral:rRNA from 1 species
AGCAGUAGCCGCGGUAAUACGAAGGGUGCAAGCGUUACUCGGAAUUACUGGGCGUAAAGCGUGCGUAGGUGGUGGUUUAAGUCCGUUGUGAAAGCCCUGGGCUCAACCUGGGAAUUGCAGUGGAUACUGGAUCACUAGAGUGUGUAGAGGAUAGUGGAAUUUCCGGUGUAGCAGUGAAAUGCGUAGAGAUCGGAAGGAACAUCUGUGGCGAAGGCGACUAUCUGGGCCAACACUGACACUGAGGCACGAAAGCGUGGGGAGCAAACAGGAUUAGAUACCCCAGUAGUCCCUGUCUUUUAUACA